UUGACGCUUCUCCAGUUUGCACUUCCAUGAAGAUUUCUAGAUAUUGAGGGCAUCGUUACUGAGUGCAAAUUUCCUCCACUCAAUGAAGGGAAACUUUAGCAGAAGCAAAAAGUGGCAGCUCAGAGGCAGCGCGAGCGCUAGGGAGGGAGACAAUACUGGCGCAGCAGAAUGCGUAAACAGUGGUGUAAACAAACGACUUACUCAAGAUUUACUUGCGUUCGACGCGUUCGACACUCGGUUACUACUACUGGUGUAGGUGUAAUGUGUCUUGUUUUUAUUAUAAUUUAGAUCGUAGUCGAACAUGGACAUAACCAAGUAUUUCAAGAAACAGCCAAAGUCUGGUCCCACUCCGGCUCCAGACCAAACCGCGUCUUCCUCGGAGAGUGCCUCCGGCCACGGCGAUGGCGCCGAUGCGGAACCAACGGAUUCGUCGGCUCCUGCCUGUAAGACCAAAUCAUCCAUCCACACUACUUUUCAUGUACCUAUGCUCUUUUGCUUUCUAUGUACUUGAAUGACCAAGACAAAGACAAAUGUG